GCGGGGAAUAUUGCGCAAUGGGCGAAAGCCUGACGCAGCGACGCCGCGUGGGGGAUGAAGGCUCUCGGGUUGUAAACCCCUUUCAGCAGGGACGAAAUCAGACGGUACCUGCAGAAGAAGCCCCGGCCAACUACGUGCCAGCAGCCGCGGUAACACGUAGGGGGCGAGCGUUGUCCGGAUUCAUUGGGCGUAAAGAGCUCGUAGGCGGUUCGGUAAGUCGGGUGUGAAAACUCUGGGCUCAACCCAGAGACGCCACCCGAUACUGCUGUGACUCGAGUCUGGUAGGGGAGUGUGGAAUUCCCGGUGUAGCGGUGAAAUGCGCAGAUAUCGGGAGGAACACCAGUGGCGAAGGCGGCACUCUGGGCCAGUACUGACGCUGAGGAGCGAAAGCGUGGGGAGCGAACAGGAUUAGAAACCCUAGUAGUCC
rnacentral:rRNA from 1 species